GAAUGUUAAUGAAACAGGCUUUGCUUGCUCUCUUCUGUCAAGUCUCUUUUUAAGCUCCUUGUAAUCUUAUGUGUCUCUCUCUGUUUCUCAAUACUGUAUGGAAUCAAAAGCUAUCUGCUUAACCUAAGACAUCAAUAAAUGCAUUGAGACCAAGUAAAUGCUUGAAGGUGAACAUGUGUAAGAAAAAUGUAUUCAAGCCAAGAUCUUAAACUAAACAUGUAUACGUUUUGUGAUCAACUUUUUUUAUUAAAAUGUGGGAGAAACUUUUGAUUCUUGACAUCUGUAUUCUGUUACAAGAAAGCUCAUCAAAUGUCUAUUAGGUUCUAAAACUAAUCCUAGUGAGGUUUGAUUCCCAACAUCCCAAGCAACGAUUGCUCCUGCAUUAGCAGGUAAUGCUCUCAGGAUGGUUGGACCCAAAUCUGCAUAGCAUCCCUUAAGUCCAGUCCUCUUGUGAAUCUGCAUAAGAUGAUUUUAAAAAUGUCAAAAACACACUAUUUUUGUGUUAUAUGACUCAUUAGAUCGGUAAUCAAUUUUGUACCAUCUAACAAACUAUGUAUCAGCCAACAUCAGCUAUUUAUUAACAUCUUACAAACCAUUUUAAAAAGCUUCAACAUUUUUUGUAACAGAUAAGCAAACAUUUAUCUGUCCACAAUACUUAAUUUGUAGAAUUUAAUCAAAUAUUUAUCAAUUAAGUUUUUUAAUAGCAACUACAUAUACUUGCAAUAGAAAUGUUAAAUUCAUGUUUUUUAAUCGAUGUCGGGGACACCCCACUCUUCUGAAUAUAUGGCCCAUCCAUACAAAUAUGUGUUUGACCAGCACGUGAAUUGACACUCAUUAAAUCCAAGCAUUGUGUAAAAUGAAAUAUACAUAACUGAAAACUAAUUGCAUCUGUAAAAAUAGAAAAAAAAACAAGAAGAAUUCAUUAUACAAGUGAAAAAAUAUAAAUUAUAUUAGAGAAUCUAAAGAGAUAUGAAAGGGAGAGAAAAAAUAGAGAAAGGAGAAACCGUUUGGAAAUGAGAAGUUAUGGAGAUACAAAAGAAAAAAAAACAAAAGAAGGUGAUAGUUUGGUCAGGGGUAAUAUAUGAUUAUGAAAAUGUUAAUAGUGUCAAAAAUAGUGUUAGGGUAGUUAGCUAAUAUUGGUUUUUUUUUUUUUGUGUAUAUCUUCUUUUAAUAUACAGGAAGAUGAAUGUGUUACCCAUACAAUAAUAAUAGAGCAUUAAAGCUUGAUCGUACUUUAUUUUACACAACAUGUUAGUACAUGAAGAGAAAGAAGACGAAAAAAAUGAGUGAAAUUUUGUGGUCCAACAACUUAAGCACCUUAAGAUCCUUCCUCACUUUUGUUUCUGGGGUCCUUAAGUUCUCUUCAAACGUUUACUUUCACAUCUUCUCCUCUUGUUAUAUCUUUCAUGUGAGAGAGGAAGAGAGUAAUAUUUUGAAGAUGAGUACGAGAAGAAGCAACGCAGAAGGGAAGAGGAGUUUAAGAGAAAUGAGUGAGGAAGAGGAGGAUACAUUUGAAGAAGAAGACGGAGAAGAGCAGGAGGAAGAAGAGGCUUCAGAGAAGAAGCAGAAAGGCAAAGCUACAAGUAGUAGCAGUAAUAGUGGAGUUUGUUGUCAGGUGGAGAGAUGUACUGCGGAUAUGAGCCGAGCCAAACAGUACCACAAACGACACAAAGUCUGUGAGUUUCAUGCCAAAGCUCCUGUUGUUCGGAUCUCUGGUGGUUACCAACGUUUCUGCCAACAAUGCAGCAGGUAACAUCUCUCUCUCUCAUGAACUCUAUCUUCCCCUCCUCCCACAACAACCAAAAACAAGAAAAAGAAUGAUGAGACAUUUUUAACUUUGGUUUCUACAAGGUUUCAUGACCUCCGUGAGUUUGAUGAAGCCAAGCGGAGUUGCAGGAGACGCUUAGCUGGACACAAUGAGAGAAGGAGGAAAAGCACAAAUGAAUAAAACCUGUCUGAAUGUUAAUGAAACAGGCUUUGCUUGCUCUCUUCUGUCAAGUCUCUUUUUAAGCUCCUUGUAAUCUUAUGUGUCUCUCUCUGUUUCUCAAUACUGUAUGGAAUCAAAAGCUAUCUGCUUAACCUAAGACAUCAAUAAAUGCAUUGAGACCAAGUAAAUGCUUGAAGGUGAACAUGUGUAAGAAAAAUGUAUUCAAGCCAAGAUCUUAAACUAAACAUGUAU
rnacentral:lncRNA from 1 species